rfam:Triticum urartu cultivar G1812 contig369938, whole genome shotgun sequence.
ACUCAGUUGGUAGAGUACAAAGCUCUUAACCUUGUGGACGUGGGUUCAAGCCCCAU